UGAAGACCAAUUUGGUGGUGGUCGUCUAUUAGCUUGUAUCUCAUCCCGCCCUGGUCAGUGUGGCCGUACUGAUGGAUACAUCUUGGAGGGUAAAGAGGUGGAGUUCUACAUGAAGAAAAUCCAGAGGAAGAAGGGGAAGGGAGCUGGUGCUGCCUAAAAUUUUGUAAUCUGAAUCUAAUAUUCAGAUUUUAUUCCCAACUUAUUAUUUCCCUUAUAUUUGGACAAUGUAAUUUUUA
rnacentral:misc_RNA from 1 species